rnacentral:rRNA from 1 species
CUACGGGUUGCUGCAGUGGGGAAUAUUGGACAAUGGGCGCAAGCCUGAUCCAGCAAUGCCGCGUGUGUGAAGAAGGCCUUCGGGUUGUAAAGCACUUUUGUUAGGGAGGAAAGUCUGGUAGCUAAUAACUGCUAGAUCUGACGUUACCUAAAGAAUCAGCACCGGCUAACUCUGUGCCAGCAGCCGCGGUAAUACAGAGGGUGCAAGCGUUAAUCGGAAUUACUGGGCGUAAAGGGUCUGUAGGCGGAUUAUUAAGUCGGAUGUGAAAUCCCCGGGCUCAACCUGGGAACGGCAUUCGAUACUGGUAGUCUAGAGUGUGCAAGAGGAUGGGGGAAUUCCUGGUGUAGCAGUGAAAUGCGUAGAGAUCAGGGGGAACAUCAAUGGCGAAGGCACCUUUCUGGGGCAACACUGACGCUGAGAGACGAAAGCGUGGGGAGCAAACAGGAUUAGAUACCCCGGUAGUC